rnacentral:lncRNA from 1 species
CUUCUCUUCCUCCUCCUCCUCCUUCCCUUCCUCCUCCUCUUCUUUCUCCUCCUCCUCUUCUUCUUCCCCCUCCUCGAUUUUAUUUUUAAUUGGUUGUAAGGCAGGGGACUGUACACAUGAGUGCAGGUCCCCACAGAGGCCAGAAGAGGGCAUUGGGUGUCCAGGAUUGGAGUAAUAGAAGGUUGUGAGCUGUUCUGUGCAAGUUCUCUGCAAGAACAAAACAGGCUCUUAACUGUUGCAUGUAGUUUUAUGCUCUACUCGACUUUGCUCCGGGAAGUGGCUGCACUACCAGCCCCUUCCCAGCUUCCCUUGAAUCCUCGGAUAAAAAACAAAGACACACAUGUUUUCAAUGACAACUUGCCUUCUUGGCACAACUGCAGAGGUAUUUCUCCAGGCCCUAUCCUUCUAGUCAUCAUGGUCCAAACCUGCCUGCCUUCCCUGAUUGCUGCGAUUCCCAUUAGCUGGCUAGAGGGGGCUUACUUUCACUGUGUUACUCCAGUGAAAUCUUGUGUCACUCCAAUGUACUCUUCAGUAAACCACAAGCUCCUAGGGAAAUGGACUGUACAAGCUUCUUAGGAUGCCCAGGUCUAGCUUUGAACUUCUGCAGCAGCUGACAUGUGUGAACACUGGAAUGUCCCAUCCUGACACCAUGGUGGCUGCCUGUUGUCUGAUUUGAUGUCCUGCCUUGAUUUCUUGGGUCCACAGGGUCGUAGAUGGCAUUGAAGAUGGCUGCAGCUCUGACCAGCCCAAGUUCUCUUUCCGAGUGGGUCAGUCUGGCCCAGAAUGUAGCAGCAGCCCCUCCCCAGGAACAGGUACUGGAUGCGGAGACGGGGAACGUUGGUGGGCACCCCAUUUGCCUCAUAGACCUCAAGCAGAGUGGGAUUUGAGUCUGGUGUUAGGAGGAACUGUAGGGCAGCCUGCCUGGAAGCUCUCCCAGGCUGCCAGUGAUGAUUGGCCUGGAGGUUUGGAUAACUGCCUGGCCAACUUUCCAACUUUCCAACGGCGUAAGCUCAGCCCCUCCGUCUUGAUUCCGGUCUAUAAAAUGGGUUGUUGUGCGUGUUAAAUGAGAAUGUACCUG